UGGGGAAUAUUGCACAAUGGGCGAAAGCCUGAUGCAGCAACGCCGCGUGAGCGAUGAAGGCCUUUGGGUCGUAAAGCUCUGUCCUUGGGGAAGAAACAAAUGACGGUACCCUUGGAGGAAGCCCCGGCUAACUACGUGCCAGCAGCCGCGGUAAUACGUAGGGGGCGAGCGUUAUCCGGAAUUAUUGGGCGUAAAGGGUGCGUAGGUGGUCUGAUAAGCGUGGGGUGAAAGGCAAUAGCUUAACUAUUGUAAGCCUUGCGAACUGUCAGACUUGAGUGCAGGAGAGGAAAGUGGAAUUCCUAGUGUAGCGGUGAAAUGCGUAGAUAUUAGGAGGAACACCAGUGGCGAAGGCGACUUUCUGGACUGUAACUGACACUGAGGCACGAAAGCGUGGGGAGCAAACAGG
rnacentral:rRNA from 2 species